ACCACCCUUAUCGAGCUCCAUUCUCCUCCUGACCUAUGAACUCAUUUUCACCCUCAUCCCUCCCUCUUCAAAGUUGUCGUCGAACGCUUCUCCUCCGGUAGAAGGUGCUGUCGCCGCCGGCGGGACAAAUCGUGGGUACCUUCGUCAUCUGGAGAAGCUCUACUCGGCCCUCUUCGCAUUGUUGGUUCCUCCUCUCCUCGCCGUCGCACCAAGUUCUGAGUUGAGCUCGUGGCGUCACCGUCACGAAGGGUUCCUCCCCUCCUCGCCAUGCGUCGUUUCUGAUUCUCUGCUCCUCGCCGUUUUUGUCUUUGAUUUUGUGAUUUCAUUUCUGAUUUUGUGAUUUUAUCUCUGCUUCCUUUGAUUUUUUUCUUAUUUCCUUAUCAACCUUUUGGUUUAUCUCUUUGAUUUCUUCUGUUAGAAUUUGUUCCUGCAGAAUUUGAUUUGGUUAGUUGCUUUCUGGUACUUAAGUUUUUUUUUUAAUGGGAAUAAUCAAGUAAUCUAUCUUUUCUAGGAUUUGGAGGCUAUGCCCGAAGCUGACUUGAGUUCACUGUUAUGCAACCAUACAAGAUUGAGAAAUAAUUUAAAAAAUAAAAUGAAACAAAUAAAUUAUCUACCUGAGCAGUUCUGCUAGGCAAUGACACCAGUAAGCAGUUUCGAAGAUUGAAGAUAAGGCUUGUUUGGUUCUACCGAUAUAGAACCUGUUGUGGUUUGAUUGGGGCUCUGAGAUGUCAUUGAAGAAAAAUCUGGACGAGGAUACUCUAAUGGUAUUGUCUCUGUUAAGAGCCACUUUCUUAUUGAUGAUGAUGAUGAUGAGUUUUUCUUGAGGGCUUUCAAGUAUAGGACAAGUAAGCGAUUUAGCUAAAUGAUGUCAAAUAUUCGUGAGGGUGUGGAUACAACCCACGAAUGGCUAAUUUCUGCUUACAAAAAGGUGUUGGAAAGGUACUGGGAAACAGAUGAGAAAUGAAAAAAUAUAAGAAAAAAAGCAAGAGAGAAUCGAGCGUCACUCUUAGGUGGUUCUGUCCAUUGCGGUGGUUCUAUUCCAUUGAGCUCAACUAUAGAGAGGAUGAAGAAGUAGUUGGGCCGUACACCAACCCUCAAUGUCUCAGCUAUUAUGAGAAGCUUAGAGCGUCAAGUAGUUCUAGUGAAGUUCCACUACCACCGCCACCGCCACCACCCUCAAUGUCUUCGGAUGAGGGCUAUGAUGAUGAUGAGGAUGAAGAUGACAUUGAAGACUAUAGCUGAUAGUUUUAGUAUGGUUGAACAAUAUACUAGGAAUUAUAGUUGAUGAUCAAUAUAUUUUGUUUAUGUUUUGAAUUAUAUUGACUUGCUUGUUUAUAGUACUUUUCUUUUAGUUUGAUAAUACGAUGAAUUUGUUUAUUUUUUGA